UUCUGCAAAAUUAUUAUGGUGGUUAUGCUCCUGUAAUUAGAUGUUAUCAUUUUAAGAAGAAGGGACAUACAAGAAAGGUAUGCCCUGAACGUCUGAAUAAUAAUGGCAGAAAGGAUAAUCGUAAUGCAAGCAUUAUGCAAGAUGAUUAUGAAUAAUAUGAUGUCCUGGUGGUUUCAAGCAGCGACUCUAGAAAGGAGUGGAUUAUAAAUUCAUGUUGUACUUGGCACACGACUCUAAACAAGGACGUGUUUGAGAAUAUAUGUGAUUAAUAUGAUG
rnacentral:lncRNA from 1 species